rnacentral:lncRNA from 1 species
GCAGGUGGAAGGUUCCUUCUCAGGAGAAAUUGAACCAGAGAGUCUCUUGGAGUGGCAGACGACAUAGAUGGGAGGAGGAGGUGCCCUCUGAAGCCUUCAGUCAGCAGAGGGAUGGCACUGCCCCUUCAGACUUUCUGAGACAUCAGAAGAGUUCUAUGUGAUUCACAUAGAGCAGAGUUCGGCGUUGCAGACAAAUCAAAGGCCUACCACAAAUUUGACUUAAUGAAUCACUUUGACUUUGUUACUGAGUUUACUCAUCUAUUGAACAAGAGGAGAACAGAUCUCUGACUGCUGAAGUAUAAAUACAAACAACGGAGUCAAAUUGGAAAUAGGAUAACAGCUGUUUUGAUGGCAAAGUAGUGUGGAGAACAAAGCUUGGGACUGAGAUUGAAACAAAAAGAAGUGACAACUUCUUUGCUCCUUGAAUUGAAGCCAGGGUCGCAGAACAGAGCUGGCCUACCUGCAGGCUGACCAUUUGACCUGGGAGAUCCCAAGCCCCAAGGGAGGGGCCAAGAAGUUGAAACGAAGGCACUCACAAUCUCCCUUUCUUAACAGACUGUGUCUCAUAAGAGGGAAAACAGUCUUCUUCCAUUCCUUGAAACUUUAUGCUCUCAUUUUUCUGAGUGCUUUUGCUGGGAACGUUUGAUGUCAUGGUAUUUCAACUUUUAUUUCUGAAGUUAAGCACUGUACUUACCAAAGACGCCAUCGUUGCUUUGUUAACUUCUUGAUUAUUUCUUGUACACAGUGGCAUCAAUAUUGCUCAGACCCAGUGCAUUCAUUACACAAAUUUUACUCAUGGGUGCAGUGAAGUGUGAAGGAUAGUUGGAAGGAAAUGAUAACCAACCAGGCUUUUUCUCUGGAACAGGAAGAAUAACCAAAUGCAUUAUUAAAAUUUAAGUAGAUACCUUUUUCUCUUCCACUUUCUUUAUAGAAGCACUUCCUAAUAGUUAAAAUUCUUCAGCCCAAGACAAUGUAUUAUGGUGCAGUGAAAGAAAUAAAAGUCCU